GGAGGGGUAGUCAAGAGGUCCAAGACAACGGUUUGCUAAACCGUCGACGGGUUCAUAGCUCGUCCGCGAGUUCGAAUCUCGCCCCCUCCGCCA
rnacentral:tRNA from 1 species